rnacentral:rRNA from 1 species
GAUCCUGGCUCAGAAUCAACGCUGGCGGCGUGCCUAACACAUGCAAGUCGAACGAGAAAGUGGAGCAAUCCAUGAGUAAAGUGGCGCACGGGUGAGUAACACGUGACUAACCUACCCUUGAGUGGGGGAUAACUGAGGGAAACCUUAGCUAAUACCGCAUAAUACCUACGGGUCAAAGGAGCAAUUCGCUUAAGGAGGGGGUCGCGGUCGAUUAGUUAGUUGGCGGGGUAAUGGCCCACCAAGACUGUGAUCGAUAUCCGGCCUGAGAGGGCGCACGGACACACUGGAACUGAAACACGGUCCAGACUCCUACGGGAGGCAGCAG